rnacentral:sRNA from 1 species
GCUGUGCAGGGCAGGGAAGCUCCAGGCAAACAGCCCAGCAAACAGCAGCACUCAGCUAAAAGGAAGACUCACAGAAGACAGUUGAAGAAGGAAAGUGGCGAUGGACCUCAUCCCAAAUUUGGCGGUGGAAACCUGGCUUCUCCUGGCUGUCAGCCUGGUGCUCCUCUAUCUAUAUGGGACCCGUACACAUGGACUUUUUAAGAGACUGGGAAUUCCAGGGCCCACACCUCUGCCUUUGUUGGGAAAUGUUUUGUCCUAUCGUCAGGGUCUCUGGAAAUUUGACACAGAGUGCUAUAAAAAGUAUGGGAAAAUGUGGGGUAUCUCUUCCCUGUUUGGACCACAUUGCCCUUCAUCACAUGAAGACUUGGGUGGCUCCUGUGUCAGACUCUUGCUGUGUGUCACACCCUAAUGAACUAGAACCUAAGGUUGCUGUGUGUCGUACAACUAGGGAAUGUAUGAUGGUCAACUCCCUGUGCUGGCCAUCACAGAUCCCGACAUGAUCAGAACAGUGCUAGUGAAAGAAUGUUAUUCUGUCUUCACAAAUCGAAGGAUUUGUGCAACGACCAGCACCGUCAAGAUGCAGACCCAUUCCGUCACCAUGUGGCUCCCUCCUGCUGUCCUACAGUCACAACAUGGAGUUUGUCUUUUUCUCUGACAGUCUUUAGGCCCAGUGGGAUUUAUGAAAAGUGCCAUCUCUUUAGCUGAGGAUGAAGAAUGGAAGAGAAUACGGUCAUUGCUGUCUCCAACCUUCACCAGCGGAAAACUCAAGGAGAUGUUCCCCAUCAUUGCCCAGUAUGGAGAUGUAUUGGUGAGAAACUUGAGGCGGGAAGCAGAGAAAGGCAAGCCUGUCACCUUGAAAGACAUCUUUGGGGCCUACAGCAUGGAUGUGAUUACUGGCACAUCAUUUGGAGUGAACAUCGACUCUCUCAACAAUCCACAAGACCCCUUUGUGGAGAGCACUAAGAAGUUCCUAAAAUUUGGUUUCUUAGAUCCAUUAUUUCUCUCAAUAAUACUCUUUCCAUUCCUUACCCCAGUUUUUGAAGCAUUAAAUGUCUCUCUGUUUCCAAAAGAUACCAUAAAUUUUUUAAGUAAAUCUGUAAACAGAAUGAAGAAAAGUCGCCUCAACGACAAACAAAAGGUAAAAUCUGAUGGUGGUUAAAUGACGAUGUUUAGGUUUUGAUAAAUUUAGAUUUUAUACACAUGAUAGAGCAUGUAUCUGUAUUUUUAAAAAUAAAGACAGAGAACUUAUGUUUAGAACAAGAGAAGUCAUUUGGUAGAAAUAAAGAAGGAGAUUGGGGAAGGAGAUGAGAAUGAGUCAGAGAGAUAGCAUUUAAAACUUGAAAUCAGGCACAACAGUUAGUAUGUCAUGAUAUAAACAGUAUUGAGAUAAAAUUUUACCACUUCUCUUCCCUUCAAUAAAUUGUCAAAGGAUAAAGUUUCCUGUUUGAAAAUAUAUUUUACUGGUAUUGUGCUUUCCUCAUAUCACAGAUUGGUAAAGAAUCAUUUUAAGUCCAAGACUCUUAUUUUACAUAUUCUGCAAUUAAAGGUCCUAUGAGGCUACCUG